rnacentral:rRNA from 1 species
GACGAACGCUGGCGGCGUGCUUAACACAUGCAAGUCGUACGGUAAGGCCCUUUCGGGGGUACACAAGUGGCGAACGGGGGCGUAUCACGUGCGUAACCUGCCCACAACUUUGGGAUAACGCUAGGAAACUGGUGCUAAUACUGGAUAUGUGCCCCUGCUGCAUGGUGGGGGUUGGAAAGCUCCGGCGGUUGUGGAUGGACUCGCGGCCUAUCAGCUUGUUGGUGGGGUAGUGGCCUACCAAGGCGGCGACGGGUAGCCGGCCUGAGAGGGUGACCGGCCACAUUGGGACUGAGAUACGGCCCAGACUCCUACGGGAGGCAGCAGUGGGGAAUAUUGCACAAUGGGCGCAAGCCUGAUGCAGCAACGCCGCGUGCGGGAUGACGGCCUUCGGGUUGUAAACCGCUUUCAGAAGGGACGAAGCUUUUUGUGACGGUACCUGCAGAAGAAGCACCGGCUAACUACGUG